GUGCCAGCCGCCGCGGUAAUACGUAGGGCGCAAGCGUUGUCCGGAUUUAUUGGGCGUAAAGAGUUCGUAGGCGGUCUGUCGCGUCGGAAGUGAAAACCCGGAGCUCAACUCCGGGCCUGCUUUCGAUACGGGCAGACUUGAGUGUUGCAGGGGAGACUGGAAUUCCUGGUGUAGCGGUGGAAUGCGCAGAUAUCAGGAGGAACACCGGUGGCGAAGGCGGGUCUCUGGGCAACAACUGACGCUGAGGAACGAAAGCGUGGGGAGCGAACAGGAUUAGAUACCCCCGUAGUCC
rnacentral:rRNA from 1 species